UAACAAACCUGCACAUUGUGCACAUGUACCCUAAAACCCUAAAGUAUAAUAAAAAAAAAAAACAAAAACCAAAAAAAAAAAAAUUUAGUUUUUAAGAUACAAGAUCUGCCCAAUAUGGUUUCAGCUGUGUGUGAAAUAUUAUAAUGGGAAGGCAAGCAAAUUAGUGAGAUCAGUAACUUUGGAGUCAAAUAGCCCUAGGAACAAAUCUUGGCUCUGCCAUGUGCAAGGGCUAUCUGUAAAUUAAUUGUUUAGAACCUCAGCUUCUUAUAUGUAAAAUUAGGAUAAUAAUAACUUCUUCAUGGGGUUGUUGUGAGAAAUAAAUGACAAAGAGCAUUUAGUAUAAUACCCGGAGUGUACUUAGUUCUCCCAUGUGGGCAUAAAUGAGAGAGCAUCUAACCCUAGUUGGAGAGACCAGGCUUCAUUGAGGAGGAGGUAUUUCAGCUGGAGUUUGACAAACCGGAAUAAAUGUAGUAGAUUAUAAUCCAGUAAGAAGAGCUAACUGAAAUGCUUGGGACCAAAAGUGUUUCAGAUUUCAGAUUUUCAAAUUUGAGAAUAAUUGCAUAUGUAUAAUGAGAAUCUUGGGAAUGGAAUUGAAGCCUAAACACGAAAUUUAUUCAUGUUUUAUAUGCACCAUGUACACAUAGCCUGAAGGUAAAUUUAAACAUUUUCAAAUAAUUUUGCGCGUGAAACAAAGUUUGUAUUAGGUACUUAUGUGUAGAAUUUUCCACUUGUGGUGUUAUGUCGGGUGCUCAAAAAGGUUUAAAUCUUGGAGCAUUUUGGAUUUUAGAUUUUUCAAAUCAGGGAUACUCAAACUGUCUAUACACACAUUUAUCUCGUUUUAUCACUGGCUUAUUUGGUUUACCUUCACCUGGCAGAAAUGGCUUCCAAGUUCUUAGGCUAGAGUCAUAACCUUUAUUCUCUUGAUCAUAUGAGGUACUUUCUGAUAGAGGCUAAAAGAGUGACUCUCGGCGGGGCACGGUGGCUCACGCAUGUAAUCCCACACUUUGGGAGGCUGAGGCGGGCGGAUCAUGAGGUCUGGAGAUGGAGACCAUCCUGGCUAGCAUGAUGAAACCCCGUCUCUACUAAAAAUACAAAGAUUAGCCGGGCGUGGUGGUGGGCGCCUGUAGUCCCAGCUACUCAGGAGGCUGAGGCAGGAGAAUGGCGUGAACCUGGGAGGCGGAGCUUGCAGUGAGCCGAGAUCGCGCCACUACACUGCAGCCUGGGCGACAGAGCAAGACUCCAUCUCAAAAAAAAAAAAAAAAAAAAAAGAGUGACUCUUCUGGUUUAAAAUCACUCAGUGUAGACAAAUAACAUAUAAAUAAAUAAACAUACAACCUGGGUACAACAGCUACACCAAUUGAACCAAACUCUCUAGGAGUACAUGCCAGUAUGGCAAUAAUAAAAUGACUGAUCAGAUUAUAACAGGUGUUGGCAAAAAUGGAGAGAGAUUAGAAUCUUCCUACACUGCUGGUGGGAAUGUAAAAUGCAGCCACUUUGGAGAGCACUUGGACAAGUAGCUCAAAAGGUUAAACAGAGUUACCAUAUGACCCAGAGAUUUCAAUUCUAGGUAUAUAUUUAAGAGAAGCGAGGCCGGGCAUGGUGGCUCAGGCCUGUAAUCCCAGCACUUUGGGAGGCCAAGGCAGGCAGAUCACAAGGUCAAGAGAUCAAGACCAUCCUGGCCAACGUGGUGAAACCCCAUCUCUACUGAAAAUAUAAAAAUUAGCUGGGUGUGGUGGCGCAUGCCUGUAGUCCCAGCUGCAUGGGUGGGUGAGGCAGGGGAAUCUCUUGAAACCGGGAGGUGGAGUUUGCAGUGAGCCGAGAUCGUGCCACUGCACUCACUCUAGCCUGGCGACAGAAUGAGACUCCCCCUCAAAUAAAAAGAGAGGUGAAAAUAUAUGCCCACACCAAAACCUGUACAUGAAUGGUCAUGGCAGCAUUAUUUGUAAUAGUCAAAAAGUGGGAACAACUCAAAUGUCCAUCAACUGACUAAUGGAUAAAUAAAAUGUGACAUAUCCAUACAAUGAAAUAUUGUUUACAACAAAUAGAAUGAAGUGCUGUUAUGAAAUGUGUGCUAAGUGAAAGAAACUAGACACAAAAGGUGACAUUUCAUAUGAUUCAAUAUGGAGAGGCAAAUUCAUAGAAACAGAAUAGGUUAGUGAAUACUUAGGACUGGAAAAACGGGGGAUUGGGGUUAAUAGCUCAUGGUUUAUUUUAUUUAUUUAUUUAUUUAUUUAUUUAUUUAUUUAUUUAUUUAUUUAUUUAUUUAUUUAUUUUGAGAUGGAAUCUCACUCUUUCACCCAGGCUGGAGUGCAGUGGUGCGAUCUCGGCUCACUGCAACCUCUGCCUCCUGGGUUCAAGUGAUUCUCCUGCCUCAGCCUUCUGAGUAACUGGGAUUACAGACAUGCGCCACCGCACCUGGCUAACUUUUUGUAUUUUUAGUAGAGGCAGAGUUUCACCAUGUUGACCAGGCUGGUCUCGAACUUCUGACCUCAAGUGAUCAGCCUCCCUUGGCCUCCCAAAGUGCUGGGAUUACAGGCGUGAACCACUGUGGCCAGCCAAGUUUUUUUUUUUUUUUUUGAAGUGAUACAAAUGUUCUAAAAUUAAUUGUGGUGAUAGCUGCACAAACCUUUAAAUGUACUAAAAUGGAUUGAAUUGGAUACUUUAAAUGGGUGAAUUCUGUGGUAUGUGAGUUAUAUGUCCAUAAAGCUACUACAAAAAUAAUUUCUGGGAAUGAGGUCUGAGUGAUUCUGAUAAGUAAUAUGUGUGAAAAACCGCUAUUCUUAAUGGACCAAAGUAAACAAUCUUUACUGCUCUACGUACAGUUUAAACCAGCUAUUGACUGCAAGGGAUGGGUGAGAGUGGGAACAGUCAGUAAUAUAUCUUCAUAGUUCAAGGACAAUUUAAUUUCUGCUGUACAUCAGCUAUUUUAGCUUAAAAGACUGUUUGGAUGCUAGAAAUGACACUUGGUCAUGAAGGUUUUGAAAAUAUUUAAUUAAUGUCAACUCAACAUUGAAUCAAAUAUAGUGUGAUCAAAUUUACUCUGAUAAAGAGUAGAAAGAAACUAAAUUUAGGACAUGAUCCUGAUAAGAUAAAUGACAAUGCUGUGUAAAGGAGCCAGGAGGUGUACUCUUUGAUGGUAAAUUCUGCAUUUUUAUUUGACCUAGUUGGAUUUUCAUCAGAAUGUUCCAAAUAAAAAUAUAUCUUUGAGGAUAAAAUGUUUGGCUUCAUGGUAACACCUUUGGGGUUUUUGACAUCGACUUAUAUUUAUUUUUUCAGAUAAAAAUAUGGCGUUAUGACUAGUUUCCAGAAAACAUUCUUGUGCAAAUGUUUCUGUCUUUGGCAGGUUGACAUAUUAGAAUAUGAGUUCAAAGACUUUCAUAAAAAUAUUUUUAUAACUCCUUGUUUUUAUUUAAAAUAUAAUUUUUUUAAAUAAAAAAUUUUUUUUCUAGUGUUAAGAAUAUUUUCUUUGGGCAAGAAAGUUUUUGUUUUGUCAUUUGAGAGGUUUUUAAGUUGUUUUAUAUAUGUAUAUUGAUAUGGUUUGGCUCUGUCCCCAUCCAAAUCUCAUCUCAAAUUGUAAUAAUGGGGGUGCUUCCCCCAUGCCAUUCUCGUGAUAGUGAGUGGGUUCUCACGAGAUCUGGCUGUUUGAUAAGUAUCUGGCACUUCGACCCCACCCCCACCACCUUGUGAAGAAGGUGCCUGCUCCUCCUUUGCCUUCUGCCAUGAUUGUAAGUUUCCUGAGGCCUCCCCAGCCAUGCGGAACUGUGAGUCAAUUAAACCUCUUUCCUUGAUAAAUUACCCAGUCUCAGGUAGUAUCUUUAUAGCAGUGUGAAAACAGAGUAAUACAUAUAUGUAUCUGAUUAAAUAUAUAUUUCUACAAAGCUUAUGAAAAAUAUUUUUGGUCAAAUAAUGUAAUUAUGCUGCUACUUUUUGAUAUUUCAGUUUUGUACCUUAUCCGUUGAUAUGUGCAAAACUGAUGUCAUCUGUUGAGGCUGUAAAUUAAUAGAAAUAAUAAUGGAAGAUAGGGAUUAAGCUCUGUUUCCCCGCUCCUCCGAUAUGUACAUUUAUAAUAUUCUCAUCUUUCUAUUAUGUGAUUGUUUUAGGUAAAUAAAUCUUUAAUGUUUACAUUGUUAUGACUAUAAACACUGACUUCAGAAGAUUCAUGUUAUUAUGCUUAAAUUUCCUUUUUUGAUGUCCUACCUUUAUUUUUUUCUGGAAAUGACAUCUGCUUUGGGUUUGCUUUUGAUUAAAUGUACUUAUUACUAAUUUAUCUGUAAAUCGCUCCCAGUUGUUUUUUUUUUUUUUUUUUUUUUUUUUGAGACAGAGUCUCGCUCUGUCGCCCAGGCUGGAGUGCAGUGGCGCGAUCUUGGCUCACUGCAAGCUCCGCCUCCCAGGUUCACGCCAUUCCCCUGCCUCAGCCUCUCCGAGUAGCUGGGACUACAGGCGCCCGCCACCAAGCCCGGCUAACUUUUUUGUAUUUUUGGUAGAGACGGGGUUUCACUGUGUUAGCCAGGAUGGUCUCGAUCUCCUGACCUCGUGAUCCGCCCGCCUCUGUCUCCCAAAGUGCUGGGAUUACAGGCAUGAGCCACCACGCCUGGCCAACUCGCUCCCAGUUUUAUAAUAAUUUUUCAAUGUGAUCAAGCACUUGGGAUAAUUUAUCAGUUUCAUCUUGGAAACAUUUCUUCUGUAGCUUCCUGCCUGCCCCAAUCCACAUUAUUCAUAUUUAGGCCUGUUGAAAACAUUUUUGUUUUUGAGUUUAUCUUUAUUUCUCUCUGGUGCUUCGUUUCCCGUUUCUGGGAUCCUUGUCUGCCUCUUUUUAAAGGUAGUUUUAGUUUUGGCUUUGUUUAACCAUUUAAUUUGAAUACAUUAUAAAUGAAUAGAAAGUUUCGAAGAUAGCACUGAGAAAACUUGUGUACCCUUCACUUAGUUUCCUCCAGUUAUUACCUUUUAUGUAACUAAAGCACAAAAAUCAAAACCAGGAAACUGAAGUUCUAUAAUGUAUGUAUGUAGUUCUGUGUCAUUUUAUCACAUUUACAGAUUUCUUUUACCACCAUGAUCAAAAUACCUAACUGUUCCCUUUCAACAAAAAUCCCUUUAUUCUACUCAUUUAUCAUUACCUCCACCUCCUUUUCACCAUCCCUCACCCUUGGCAGCUACUAAUUUGUUGUCCCUAUCUAUAAUUUUGUCAUUUCAAGAAUUUUACCUACAUGGAUCAUAUAAUGUUUGAGAUUGGCUUUUUUUCAGUAGGCAUAAUGACUUUGAGAUCCAUCUAAGUUGCUGUUUAUAGCAGUAGUUUGUUCUUUUUUAUUCCUGAAUUGUAUUUCAUGGCAGCGAUCUACUGCAAUUUGUUUAACUAUUUACCUAUAGGACAUUUUGGCUGUUUCCAAGUUUUUUGGCUAUUACAAAUAAAGUUACUAUAAGCAAUUAUGUACAAGUUUGUUUGUGUGAGACAGGAUCUCCUUCUGUCUCUCAGGCUGGAGUGCAGUGGCAUUAACACAGCUCACUGCAGCCUCAACCUCGUGGGCUCAAGUGAUCCUUUUGCCUUAGCCUUCUGAGUAGCUGGGACCAAAGGUGCAUGCCACCAUGCCCGGAUAAUUAAAAAAAAAAAAAUUUGUAGAAACAGAGUCUCACUUUGUAGCCCAGGCUGGUUUCAAACUCCUGGGCUCAAGUGAUCCUCCUGUCUCAGCCUCCCAAAGUGCUGGAAUUACAGGUAUGAAUCACCACAUCCAGCUGUGUACAGAUUUUGAUGUAAAGAUGAAUUUUCAUUUAUUUGGGAUAAAUACCUAGGUGUAUGAUUGCUGGGUCAUAUGGUAAGAAUUUGUUUUGUAUCUUAUGUUAAAAUAGCCACUCCUGUUUUCUUUUCAUCAUUGUAUGGCAUUAUCUAUUUCUAUCUUUUUACUUUCAACACAUAUAUAUAAUCAUUAUAUUUGAAGUGAGUUCCUUGUAGACAGCUUUCAGUUAGGUCGUGUUUUUUCACUCCACUCCAUCAGUCUCUUUUACUUGGUGUAUUUAGAGUAUUUGUAUUUAAUGUAAUUGUUGUUAUGCUUGUUAGUGCUUAAGUCUUUUAUUAUAUUUUUGUUUUUUUUAAUUUUUCUCUCUCUCCUUUUCAUUUCUUUAUUUUUUUCUCUGCCUUUCUUUGGGUUACUUGAACAUUUUUGAUUUCGUUUUGAUUUAUCAAUAGUACCUUUUGUAUCUCUUUUCCUAUUGGUUUUCUAGUGGUUUCUCUAGCUAUUAAACAAUAUAUGCAUUAGUUAGUAAAGUUUACUGGUGUCAACACUUUACCAGUUGAAGUGAAAUAUAGAAACUUUACCUCCCUUUAAGCCCAUUUACUGUCCACCAUUUAUAUACCCCAUAUAAUUGUUUUUAAUAUCUAACAUAUAUAUUUUAAGAAUAAUAUCAGACAUUUUUAUAAUGUUUGCUUAGACACAAAACAAAAAUUAAAAAUUCAAGAGGAGGAAAAAGUGUAUUUUAUUUAUAAUUUUUUUCUUUUUUUUUCUUCCUGAUGUCCGAAGCGGCCUUUGUUUAGUAUUUCCUUUCUGUUCGAUAAAUAACAGAUAAAUAACUUCCUUUGGCAUUCUUUUGGUCUAGGUCUGCUGGUGACAAAUUUUCUUAGUUUUCCUUCAUCUGAGAAUGUCUUUGUUAUGGGUGAAUAGUGACUCUCAAAUGUAUGUUUUGAAAACCUAAUCCCCAGUACCUCAAAAUGGAAAUAUGGUCAUUGCAGAUAUUAUAUUAGUCUGAUCUCACACUGCCCUAAAGAUACUACCUGAGACCGGGUCAUUUAUAAAGGAAAAAAGUUAAUUGACUCACAGUUCCAGAUGGCUAGGGAGGCCUCAGGAAACUUAAAUUAUGGCAGAAGGUGAAAGGGAAGCAAGGACCUUCUUCACGGGGCAGUAGGAGAGAGAAGUACAAGCAGGGGAAAUGCCAGACGCUUAUAAAACCAUCCUAUUUUUUUUUAAUUGUAAAACCAUUUUAUGUCUUAAAACACAAGUUGUUAUUAACACUAACACAUGCACAGUCAUAUACAUGAAUAUAAUUAUAAUCAUAAAGUUUAUAAAAAUAAAAUUAUAAACUUGUGUUAUUUGGAUGCAAGUGAUUACAAAGCUCUUUUCCCACCCCUAGCAAUAUCCAAUGGAUUAAUCAAUGCAUUGUUUAAAUAACCACCCACGAAUGUAUAAAAAUGAUGUAUUUGAAGUCUGUUUGGUCACACACUUUCGUGUUUCCCAAAACUAUGCACAUAACCUAGUACACUAAGUAUUAAAUGGUUUACAUGCUGUUUAAAAUAUAGACUUGUAAAACCAUCCCAUUUUGUGAACACUUGCUCACUAUCAUGAGAACAGCAUGGGGGAACCACCCCCACGAUCCAAUCACUUCCCUCCCUCAACAUGUGGGGAUUGUAAUUCGAGAUGAGAUUCAAGUGGGGACCCAGAGACAAACCAUAUCAGAUGAAUUUAGGUCAAUUAAGAUGGGGUCAGACCGGAGUGGUGUGGGCCCUUAACCUCACGUAACUGGUGUUCUUAGAGGAGACACACACUCAAACAUAGAGGAAGAGAGCCCUGUGAAGACAGAAGCAAAAAUUGGAGGGAUGAUGCCACAAGCCAAAGGAUGGACUGGGGUUACCUGAAGCUGGAAGAGGCAAGGAAGGAGUCUCCCCUAGCAGCUUCAGAGGGAACGUGGUCCAGACAGCGCCUUAAUGUUAGAAUUUAAGUCUUCAGAAAUGUGAGAGAAUAAAUGUACACAGUUUUAAUCCACAGGUGUGUGGAUAAUUUGUUUCAGCAGCCCUAGAAAACGAACACAGGGUGAUUGAUAUGUUUCUGAGCAAAGCAUCUUUCAGUCUUAAGCCUGUAAGUUACCUGUCGGGCUGCCACUGCUGUCAACUGAGACUCAUGUGAGUAAGAGGUUGGAGCAGCCUGGGGAGUCUCAGUGUUCAGGAAAUAACUUCCUCUGAGUCCCCCUUAUGUUUAGCAUGGUACCCUUGCCACAAAUGCAUGUGGUUUCCUCUAGUCCUGAAACCAUCAGUUUCACCCUCUCCAAAAAUAUAGCUCACAAGUCUUUGGCAGUUGAGAGUGGUGGAAGUGGUGGGUUACCCAGCUGUCAUGAGUAGGAGCAUAUGGAAUGGGUCUUGCUGAUUAUUCAUGGGACUUUCAAGUAAUCAGUUUAUUUUUGGUCCCUUUCCCUACCACUUCCAGGUGGCAUAGGGAAUUUUUGACUGGGAGUUGGGCAAGCAAAUCAUAUUGCUUCCCGGUGUUGUACUGCCUACAAAGCUCAGGUGGCAACAUCAGAUUCCAUACGUCCUCACAAUUUCCUCCUUCCAGAAUCUUAUUCCCCUCUCCUGUUCUGUGUCAUUCUCUGUUCACACCAUUAUAAAACUUUUAUGUUCUGAUUUUAGUGGGUGUUUUAGAGGGACUGUGUAGAUUUCAUCCACUAUCUUCAUCUGGAGGCUCAGAAUUGUUUUCGUAAUAUUUACUAAGCGUCCGAGUUCCUUCUUAAAUCACUGUGUCUUCCAGCCAUUGUGAUAUGCCAUUUGUUGCAGACCUAAUUUUUCAAUAAUAUUCUUCCUUUUUUUUUUUUUUUUUUCUGAGACAGGAUCUUACUCUGUUGCUUAGGCUAGAGUGCAGCAGCACAAUUAUAGCUCACUGCAGCCUUGAACUCUGGGGCUCAAGUGAUCCUCCUGCUUCAGCCUCCUGACAGGCUGAGACUACAGGAGGAAGUGUGCCACCAUGCCUGGCUAAUUUUUUAAUGCCAUGUCUGGCUAAUUGUUUAAUGUGUAGUAGGUAUGGGAUCUCGCUAUGUGGCCCAGGCUGGUCUGGAACUCCUGGGCUAAAUGAUUCUUCUGCCUCGGCCUCACAAAGCACUCGGAUUAUAGACGUGAGCUGUCGUGCUGGUUCCAUUUUUGUAUAUUCUUAUGUUUCCUCUCCUCGUCCUCAAGCUUUAUUAGGAUAUAAUUGACAAAAAGUGUAUGUAUUUAUGGUGUACGAUGUGACAUUUUGAUAUGUGUAUACAUUGUGAAAUUAUUAAAGCUAAUUAACACAUCCAAUACGUUAUAUACUUAUCAUUUUUUGAUAAGAACAUUUGAGUUUUAAUCUCUCAUCAAUUUUCAAAUAUAUAUUAUUAUUAAUUACAAUCACCAUGCUGUUAUUCUUAACUUCAGGCUACAGUUACUGUCGUAGGAAAAUUUGUGCUUAUUAGUAUUUUUAUGCUUUUUAAAUGCUAGUAGAGUUAUCAUCCUUGCUGCUGUGUUUUGUGACCCUAAAUAUAUAUUAUACUUCAGAAUUACCACUGCAAGUUUAUAAUAUCCUUAGAAUUACCAUAAAUAUAAAGAUGAAAGCAAAAUGUUUACAUAUUUCUAAAUGUCUUUCUGAGGAAACAAGAUACUUUUUUUUUUCAUUACAGUGGUAUCCCUUAUGGUAGAUAAAUGAAUGGAAUAGAAAACAGGAAGAGGCAAGAUUCAUUUAUAUAACGAUAUAAUCUCUCUCUCUCUCAUGCCCACACACAUGCACGCUCACGCACACCACACCCAUACUUUAAAACCUCAUAGUAACUCUAGGAAGUGGGCACUAAUGCAAUUAGUACCUUCCUCAUUUUACAAAGAGAGCUACAGAAUUGCCCAAGGUUACACUGUCAAUAAGGGACUGAGUUGGAAUUUGCACAUAGGUAGUCAGCAGACAGAGUAGCUGGCACAGAGUGAGAGCUCAGUAAAUUUAGUUGAUGUUAUUAUUAUUAUUUCAUUGGAGUAUACUUGCAUCAUAUCACCUAGUUCCUCCAAGAAUCCGAUUUUUACAUUAUGCCUUAAUUUGGAUCAAAGGAUACUUCUAGGUUUAUAUAAAAUGUGCUUCUACCUUUGCUCUAAAAAUGAUAUUUGUAAUAUUUUAUGUUACAAUAUGCAGUGUCUCUGCUGCAGAGAAAUACAAGAGAAAUUUUCUUUUUGACUUUAGGUUCAAACAGAAACAAACAAAAAAUAUAUACACACAGCACAGUGGUUCACACCUGUAAUCCCAGCACUUUGGGAGGCCAAGGUGGGAGUUCAACCCAAGAGUUCAAGACCAGCCUGGGUAACAUGAUGCGAUCCCAUUUCUACCAAUUUUUUUUCAUUGUCCAGUGUGGCGGCGUGCACCUGUGGUCCCAGCUACUCAGGAGGCUGAAGUGGGAGGAUCACUGGAGCCCAGGAGGCUGAAGCUGCAGUGAGCCAUGUUUGUGCCACUGCACUCCAGCCUGGGCAAAAGAGUGAAACCCUGUCUCAAAAAAAAAAAAAAAAAAAAGGAAAAAGAAACAAAUAAAAAUAAAACAUACAAACACAUUUGCUAUUUGGCUUCCUUUUGAUCAUCAGAAUUAUGAAAACCAUGCACCAAUUUGUUUAUUUUUUCCUGCUCUGAAACUCAGCCACAGAGGGAGAACUGACUAGUUUCACCUGGUAAAGAUAGAUAAGUUGUCCUAUAUUGGUUUUGGAAGAAUUAUUACCUUACUUAGUUAUUUAUAAUGAUCAAACUAUUAUUUAUUUUCCCUAAAUGAGUUUAUAGUCAAAAAUUGAUUAUAUGAUUAUAGUCAAAACACAGAUUUUUAUAAGCAAAUGUUCCCUUGGUUUGGGCAUUUAAAGUAAAACUUCAACUCUUAUUAAUGGCUUUAUAUAAGAGGAAAAUCACAAAAAGCGUAUGAAAUUUUUAUAACAUUAUUCAAGAGGUAAAGAACUGUUUAAAAAUAUAAACAAAUAAAGCUCUAUGUUUUUAAUGAGCUGAUUAAGAUAGUUGAGUUGCUGAGUAUAUAUUUAUUUGCCUAUAAAUUUUAUCAGUCAUGUGCUAGUGGUAGAGUUCAUAAUAGGAGUUUUGAUGAGUAUAAGAUUGUGAGUGACCCUCUCUCUUUAUAUGUAAUUCUGACCAGAAGUGAUAGCUAUUCUAUCCAUUUAAUGGUGUGUUUGGUAAUGUAAGUUAUUCACCAUUGUGUCCUACUGUAAAAAUUGUGCAGUUUCUUUGCGAAGUCAUAUCACAUCUGGUAUAAAAAUGUCCCAUUCUUAAUUCUAUUUCCUCAAAAUGGUAUGCUUUGUGGCACCAUAUGACGGUGGUUUAGUGAUUAUUGUAUGUUAUAGUGAUCACUGUUGAUUACUGUAUUGACCUGAUUGAGAUAUUAUCCAAGUGUGUCUGAGAAAUAUAAAUUUGUGGUAACUUAGAGAGUGAAGACAUCUGUAUUAGUUUAUUUUCACACUGCUAUAAAGAACUGCCUGAGACCGGGUAAUUUAUAAACGAGAGAGGUUUAAUUGACUCACAAUUCUGCAUGGCUAGAGAAGCCUCAGCAAACUUACAUCAUGGAAGAUGGAGAGGUAAACAUAUGCUUCUUCACAAGGCAGCAGGAGGGAGAAGAGUGGUAGAGUGAAGGCAGGAGAACCCAUUAUAAAACCAUUAGAUCUUGGCUGGGUGCAGUAGCUCACACCUGUAAUACCAGCACUUUGGGAGGUUGAGGUGGGCAGAUCACUUGAGGUCAGGAGUUCAAGACCAGCCUGGCCAAUAGGGUGAAACCCUGUCUAACCUUGUCUCUACUAGAAAUAUAAAAAUUAGCCGGGUGUAGUGGUGGAUGCCUGUAAUCCCAGCUACUUGGGAGGCUGAGGCAGGAGAAUUGCUUGAACAUGAGAGGCGGGGGUUGUAAGGAGCCGAGAUUGUACACUCCAGCUUGGGUGACAGAGGGAGACUCUGUCUCAAAAAAUAAAAUAAAACCAUUAGAUCUCAUGAAAACUCAUUCACUAUCAUAAAAACAGCAUAAAGGAAGCUGUCCCCAUGAUCCAAUCACCUCUACCUGGUUUCUUCCUCAACAUCUGGGGAUUGUGGGAUUACAAUUCAAGAUGAGAUUUGGGUGGGGACACAAAGCCUAACCGUAUCAACAUCUUUGAGAUCAUUAACUCAAGUUCCCUCAUUUUACGUCAGAAGUAAAGGAAACUUAGGAAAGGAUAAAUUAGAUGAUUUUCUGUGGGUUGCAGUGUUGCCAGAGCUAACUUUGUGAUACCCAGGCCUGUUCACCACACUUUCUACUUCACCGUAUUAUAAAUGUAGGAAAACUCCAUAAUAUAUGACUUAUGUUCAAGAAACUUCUGGGGGUGGGCCCAAGAUGGCCGACUAGAAACAGCAGUGUUUGGAGGCUCCCAUCGGAAAAAAAAAAAACAUAAUAAGUAUAUGAAUUCUUCACCGGCAACAAAGGUAUCGAGGUUCUCUCAUCAAAAUUGACAAAAAGGCUGGCGUGACUCAUGGAGAGAAGGAAGAACAGUGGCAUGCGGCAGCUUACCUCAGAGCCACACGGGGAAGGGGAACCCCCUCUCCCCAGCCAAGGGAGGUGGUGAGUGAGCAUGCUACCCAGCUGGGGAAACCGUGCUUUUUCCAAGGAACUGUGCAACCCACGGAUUGGAAGAUCCUACUUGCAAACUCAUGCCACCAGGGCUUAGAGUCCCAACUCCAGAAUGGUUAGAUUCUUACAGCCUCUCAGCUGGAAUCUGCUUAAGCCUACUGAACUCCUGGAGUGAGGGGCGACCCACACUGGCUGUGGCUGCCUGCUGUCUAAGCCAUUUGAGCUCCUUAGGGGAGGGGCAUCAGCCAGCAUUGGGACUCACAACUACCUAAAACGCUGAGCUCCCUGAGCAGGGGAAGGGCGGCACCCAUUUCUAUAGCUCCAGGCUGUGCUUUUCCCCUGCUGGAGCCAGGGAGGCUGAAUGGCUUGGUCCUAAGCCUUGUCCCCACAUACCAACACAUGAGUUGUGGCCAGAGUGCCUCUUCAGGCAUAAAUCUUAUCCAUCCUUCCUCAUUGGGUGAGGCUUCUCUGCAGGAUCUCCAAUAACUCCAGCCAGAGGCUCAGGAACAGAAUUCGGAUCUGCCUGGGCCUGAGCCCUUAGGGGGAAUGGUGACUGCAUUCUCUGUGGACCAGCAGACUUAGCCUCUCCUCCUGGUAGUUCUAAGGAAUCUGGGCAGCCCAGACAAAUGGGUUUCUUCUGAAGAAAAGCACACCCUCUCCACCAAGGGACAAAGUGCUUUUUUAAAUGGGUCCUGCUCCCUGUGCCCAGCUGGGUGAGAUCCUCCAACAGGGGUUGUCAGACACCCUAUACAGGAACAAUCCUCCUGGCAUCAGGUUGGUCCCCCUCGAGGUCAGAGGUCCCAGAAGAAGGAGCAGGAGCCCAUCUUUGCUCUUUUCCAGCCUCCUUGAGUGACUUCUCCAGGUGCAGGAGUGAAUCAGAUGAAUAGGGCCUGAAGUGAACCCCCAGCAAACUGCAGCAGCCCUACGGAAAAGGGACCUGACUAUUGAAAGAAAAACAAAAAAGCAGAAAAUGACAACAACAGCAAUCAACAAAACUGACAAAAAAAGGCCUCCACGAAAACCCUGUCCAAGGGUCAGCAGCCUCAAAGACCAAAACUAGACAAACUCGCGAAGAUAAGAAAGAAUUAAUGAAAAAAUGCUGAAAACCCAAAAGGACAAAACGCCUCCUCUCCUCCAGAUGAUCACAACAUCUCCAUCAAGGACGCAGAACUAGGCAGAGGAUCAGAUGGAUGAAUUGACAGAAGUAGGCUUCAGAAGAUGGGUAAUAAAAAAGUACGCUGAACUAAAGGAGCAUGUUCUAACCCAAUUCAAAGAAGCUAAGAACCUUGAUAAAAGGUUAGAUGAAUUACUAAUUAGAAUGACAGGCUUAGAGAGGAACAUAAAUGACCUGAUGGAGCUGAAAAACACAGCAUGAAAACUUCAGGAAGCAUACACAAGUGUCAACAGACAAAUCGAUCAAGUGGAAGAAAGGAUAUAAGAGAUUGAAGACUACCUCACUGAAAUAAGAUAUACAUUCUUAUCUAAGAAUAGAGAAAAAAGAAUGAAAAGGAAGGAACAAAGCCUCCAAGAAUUUUGAGACUUUGUAAAAUGACAAAACCUAUGAUUGAUUGGAGUACCAGAAGGAGACAGGGAGAACAGAAACAAGCUGGAAAACACACUUCAGGAUAUUACCCAGGAGAACUUCCCCAACCUAGCAAGACAGAAAAUUCAGGAAAUACAAAGAACACCAUUAAGAUACAACAUGAGAAGAUCAACCUGAAGUCACAUAAUCAUCAGAUUCUCUUAGGUUGAAAUGAAGGAAAAAACUUUUAAGGGCAGCCAGAGAGAAAGGCCAAGUCACCUACAAAGGGAAGCCCAUCAGAGUAACAGAGGACCUCUCAGCAGAAAAUCUACAAGCCAGAAGAGAUUGGGGGCCAUUACUUAACAUUCUUAAAGAAAAGAAUUUUCAACCCAGAAUUUCAUAUCCAGCCAAACCAAGUUUCAUAAGCGAAGGAGAAAUAAAAUCCUUUCCAGAAAAGCAAAUGCUGAGAGAUUUUGUUAUCACCAGGCCUGCCCUGGUUGAGCUUUCGAAAGAAGCACUAAAUAUGAAAAGGAAAAACCAGUACUAGCCACCGCAAAAAUGCCAACAUAUAAAGACCAAUGACACUAUGAAGAAACUGCAUCAACUAGUGUGCAAAAUAACCAAAUAGCAUCAUGAUGACAGGAUCCAAUUCACACAUAACAAUAUUAACCAUAAAUGUAAAUGAGCUAAAUGCCCCAAUUAAAAGACACAGACUGGCAAAUUGGAUAGAGUCAAGACCCGUCGGUGUGCUGUAUUCAGGAGACCCAUCUUACAUGCAGACACACACAGGCUCAAAAUAAAUGGUUGGAGGAAAAUUUAUGAAGCAAAUGGUGAGGAAAAAAAAAAGCAGAGGUUGCAAUCCUAGUCUCCAAUAAAACAGACUUUAAACCAACAAAGACAAAAAAGGGCAUUCAAUAACUAUAAAGGGAACAAUUUAACAAGGAGACCUAACUAUUCUAAAUAUAUAUACACCCAAUAUAGGAACAUCCAGAUUCAUAAAACAAGUUCUUAAGAGACUACAAAGAGACUUAGACUCCCACACAAUAAUAGUGGGAGACUUUAACACCCCACUGUCAGCAUUAGACAGAUUAAAGAGAAAGAAAAUUAACAAAGAUAUUCAGGACUUGAACUCCUCUCUGGAUCAAGUGGACCUAGUAAAUGGCUACAGAAUUAUCUACCCAAAAUCAACAGAAUAUACAUUCUUCUCAGUGCCACAUGGCACUUAUUCUAAAAUUGACCACAUACUUGGGAGUAAAACACUCCACAGCAAAUGCAAAAGAACUGAAAUCAUAACAAACAGUCUCUCAGACCACAGUGCAAUUAAAUUAGAACCCAGGAUUAAGAAUCUCACUCAAAACCACAAAAUUUCAUGGAAAUUGAACAGCCUGCUCCUGAAUGACUCCUGGGUAAAUAAUGAAAUUAAGGCAGAAAUCAAGAAGUUCUUUCAAACUAAUGAGAACAGAGACAACAUACCAAAAUCUCUAGGACACAGCUAAAGCAGUGUUAAGAGGGAAAUUUACAGCACUAAACACCCACAUCAGAAAGCUGGAAAGAUCUCAAAUUGACACCCUAACAUCACAAUUAAAAGAGCUAGAGAGGCAAGGGCAAACUAAUCCAAAAGCUACAGAAGACAAGAAAUAACUAAGAUCAGAGCAGAACUGAAUGAGAUAGAGAUGUGAAAAACCCUCCAAAAAAUAAACAAAUCCAGGAGCUAGUUUUUUGAAAAAAUUAACAAAA